CCUUUUUUCUCUGUUUUGCUGUAGUUCGUUAAGCCACUCAACGAAAAGACUAAUCCACUUAUUGGUGGUUGUACCGAACAAUAUAUUUAUCUGGCCAACACCCACGGACACGGUCACCCUAAAUCCCAUAAAGAUUAUAGGAGAAAGUAUGGAAACAGACGGUUUACUUGUGGUAUAUCUAAGUGACGGGGUAUGUGGCAGUUCAGCACCUUGACUAUUGCGUUUUUAGUUUCACAUUUAUGCAUAUUUAAUGCCAAUUUUCAAUGGCGGCAAUCAAAACAUAAUAUUUACCAAACAAAUACGCAGCGUUGCAAUAUUUUUGCACCUCUCCAGAGAUUUUACCUUCCAAUUAGUUGCUGAAAAUGGAUGCACCAAAUUGUCAUAUCGAUGGCCAUAUGUGAGUAUUUGAUGGCUGAUGACUCACACAGCCCCCGGCUUCCAGUCCCCCUCCCCGAACUCUGCAUUAAUUACAAUCCCCCCAAUCGCCUGUGGGGAAAUCAGCAGCGCAUAUUGUCGCAGGAAAAAGUAAUGAAAACCACGGAAGAAAGGAAACCGAAAUUGAAUUUCGAGAGCAGUUGUCGCAAAAAUGCUUUUAACGCGAGCCAAAUGCGUUGAGGAUACGAUAUGAGUGGCCAAAGGGAAAUGGGUCCUGGAGCGUGCAUCAUAAUUAAUGUUAAUUGCCUGAUUGAAUGGGAGGUUUACGAAUUCACUAUUAAGUCGCCGGGCUGACAGUCUCCUUUUCGGUCCAUUUCAGGUGUCCUUUUUCAGGAUGAAUUGCCGGAAACUUUAUUGGAGCAUAUUGCGCCUGAAUAAACAUUGG